GAAAUUAUCAAACUUACUUUAAUUUGAAACAGUUAAGAUUUUUGUUUAAAUUUAUUUUUUGAACUGGUAAUAAUUUUACAUGUUUCAAAAUUCCAAAAAUAUAAAAUGAUAAAGAGUGAAAAUUAUUCCUCAUCACUGUCCUCCCAAUUCUUCUGGCCAACCAGUAUGCCACUUUUACCCUUUCAGAGAUUAUGUGUGUACAUAUAAACAAAUGUUUCUUAUUUAUUUAUUUAUUUUUGAGAUGGAGUUUCGCUCUUGUUGCCCAAGCUGGAGUGCAAUGGCACAAUAUUGGCUCACUGCAACCUCCACUUCCUGGGUUCAAGCGAUUCUCCUGCCUUAGCCUACGGAGUAGCUGGGAUUAGAAGUGUGCACCACCACACCCAGCUUUUGUAUUUUUAGUAGAGAUGGGGUUUCACCGUGUUGGUCAGGCUGGUCUUGAACUCCGGACCUCAGGUGAUCCACCCGCCUCGGCCUCCCAAAGUGCUGGGAUUACAGGCGUGAGUCACCUUGCCUAGCCUGUUUCUUCUUUACAUAAAUGGAAACAUACUCUACAGUUUGACACCUUGCUUUUAUCUACUUAACUAUCUUAGAGCUCUUUCUCACAUUAGUAUAGUUUGAGGAUCCCUAAUUCAAAAAUCUGAAAUCUGAAACACUUCUGGUCCUGAGCAUUUUGGAUAAGGGAUACUCAACCUGUAUAUAAAGAGUCUUCAUUUUUAAGGCUAUGAUCUCCAUUCCACCAUAAAUGACUUAGCCAGUUCCCCAUGGUGGACAUGGAGGGUUGUUUCCAAAUUCUGACUUUUAAAAUCAAUAGCAUAAUGAAAACCAUGUACAAACAGUCUGCACACAUACAAAUAUAUGUGUAGGAUUUAUUCCCAGCAAGUUUGCUUAGACAAAGGGUUUAUGUAUGUGUAAUUUAGAUAGUGGCUGAUAAACUGCCCUCCACAGAAGUUGUAUCAAUUCACAUUCCCACUGUAAAUGUAUAAGAACCCCUCCAAUGCCCCCUUUGAGAAAACUCAAGGCUGGUAAAAUACUGGGUGGAGAGCACAUUGUUACAAUCCUCCUGAAAGUUAAUUUAAAGAGCUACAUGAAAUUCAUAGAGAAAAUCCUCAAAAUAGAGUAAGCACAUGUUACAAGACAACUAGAAGGGAUUCCAAAUUUCUAAACACAAGAUAACUAUACACAUAUAUAUUCCUCUGUGUGUAUGUAAAAUUUAGUGUACACUAUGUAUGUGUAGACACACGUGUAUAUUUUAAGAAAAAGCUGCAAGGAAAAUUAGUAAAAUCCUAAUGGUAAGGACCAUCUAUGGAUGGCUAAAGUAUGAGGAAUUUUACACAAGUUUUCAUUUUUUUUUUACUUUUAUGCAUUUUCCAAGUUUUGCUACAAAGAACUCGCAUUACUUUUAUGAACAGAAAAAAACAUGUCUUUUCCCUAGUUAACAGUAAUUUCCACGGAGGAGUUUCUUAUCUGUUUCAAAAUAUCUACAAGGAAAUCAGUAGGAAUAUCAUGCUUAGAAAAUGUGAACUGAAAUGAGAAACAGAAAAUAUGCAAAGAUCUGAAACACUUCUGGUCCCAAGCAUUUCGAUAAGGAAUAUUCAAGCUGUAUAUAGAGUCUUCAUUUUUAAUGAAUUUUUAUGAUCACCAUUCCACCAUAAAUGACUUAGCCAGUUCCCCAUGGUGGACAUGGAGGUUCUUUCCAAAUUUUUACUUUUAAAAUCAAUAGCAUAAUGAAAACCAUGUAGCCUGCACACAUAUAAAUAUAUAUGUAGGAUUCAUUCCCAGCAGGUUUGGUGAGACAAAGGGUUUAUGUAUUUGUAAUUUAGUGACUGAUAAACUGCCCUUCAUAGAAGAUGUAUAAGAACCUUCCCACACCCCCUUUGAGAACUCAAGGCUUGUUGAGUUCCAGUUGAUUGCUUCAUCCCAGCUUACCACCCUGUGGGGCUGCUAUAACCUCAGCCAACCCCAUGCCCCCUCAGAGAAGUAUCAACUGUGACCCCUUCAGGACUGGCCAUUUUGGGGGCCAAGGUGGAGGGAAUGAGGCAAUCACAGGCCUGACUUCCAGAGCUGUCUAGAACCAUGCUGUCAUUUUUGGUCCCACUGCUUCAGAGGGGAGGAGCUUUCCUGUCUGGAUUCCCAAGCCUGUGCCCCAAACUGCUGGUGGAGCAGAAAGGAGGAAUGAUCCAGAAUAGGGUUUUGGUACCAGACUGUUUGGUUCACACUCUGGCUGGGCCACUUGGUAGCACAUUACUUCUCCUCUUAGGGCCAUCCUGCACUGUUGGUGGCAGUGGGGAUGAAGUAAGCAAAUCCGAAAUGUUUACAUGGCAAAAUCAACAGGACCUCUAACUCCAUGGAGUGGGGAAGGGGAGAGGUCAAGAAGACUGGUUUUCUGGCUUCCAUGAUGGGAUGGCAAGUGGAAACAGCCUCCAGGAAAGGGAUCAGGGAAGCAGAGACUAGUCUGGGUGGAAAAUGAGUUUUGUUUGGGGUAGGCUGGGUUUGGGGAGCUUUCGGCACACCUCGGGGAGUUGCCCAGUAGCACACAGCAGUUGUUUGGGUCUGAAGCCCAAAUCUCAGAAGCACCAGACUGAUUUGGUGGUGAGCAGCACAAAGCUAGGGAUGUAGAUGACACCUGGGGAGGGCGUGGAGCACAAGGUGGACUCUAGGACCCCAGCAUUUAGGAAGGGUGACGGGAGGUUGAGAAGUCCCUGAAGAGUUAGAAGGAACCCCACAAUGCAAGGAGAUGGAGCUCUGCAAAGAGGUUAGCAGGCUUCACAGUCCUGGGGAUGAAGAGAGACGACACCAGAGGUAGUACCUUGGACAGUGGUUGCAGUGGGUUCUGUGAAGCAGUGGGGGCGGACAGCAGGUCUGAGGUGUGAGCUGCCACCAAGGGAAUAGGGAGCACAAGCGAUUCUCCCAAGAGCUUGAAGGAGAAAAGCAGCAGAUACGGCUAGCUGCCUCCAUCAUCCACCAAGGGAAUAGGGAGCACAAGCAAUUCUCCCAAGAGCUUGAAGAGAAAAGCAGCAGCUACGGCUAGCUGCCUCCAUCAUCCACUUCCCAGGACUUUUCUCUCCCACCUGUCUCCACCACAGAGGUUAGAAAGGUAAAUACGAGGUUUCUAAGCCCCGUUGUUAUUAGGGGUGGCCCCCUGACCCAUCUGUGGCCAGUGAGACUAAGGGGGGCAUGUGCUGCAGGCUUCUGGGAAUGUUUUUCCUUUAAACACCAUCAGCGGUAAGUGUUGGCCUGCCCAUUCCCCCUUCUUUCAGUCUUCACUGUGGAUGCAAUGGCUGGAGCCAUAGGAGUCUCCUCAUGACCACAAUGGAAAGGUUGAGAGAUUGCAGAAAACAUCGACUGUGACACAGCUGAGCCACUGAAAAGACAGCCUUUGAACAAAGCCUCAUCUGUUUAAGCCAUGGUCAGCUGGGUGCUGACAUCAAAUUCUAACUCCACCACUUCCUAGCUUGGGCUGGUUACUUUUGUUCUAGUUACCACUAACUUUUGUCCUGUGCCAAAUUUUGCCUAUCUAUAAAAUGGUACUAACUCACAGAACUAUUAUUGUGGCAGUGUCGGAGGGUGCAGCAUUUAGCUAUGCGAAUGGAGGUUAUCUAAGGAGACAGAAGUGGCGCAGUCCAAGGUAGGAGGCCAGCUCUGCCUUGAUUGGAUAGCUGAGUUGUGACACUCCCAGCAUCCAAAAAGCAAAAACGGACACGGGAAGUUCUUUUAUUUUUUUCGAGAUGGAGUCUAACUCUGUCUCAAAAAAAAAAAAAAUUGCUGUUUGGCAGGGUGCAUUGGCUCACACCUGUAAUCCUAGCACUUUGGAUGGCCAAGGUGGGAGGAUCGCUUGAGCCCAGUUUGAAACUGGCCUAGGCAAUGUAGUAAAACCCCAUCUCUACAAACAAUUAAGAAAUCUGCUGAGUGUGGUGGUGCAUGCCUGCAGUCCCAGCUACAGGGGCGGCUGAGGCAGGAGAAUUGCUUGAACCUGGGAGGUUGCAGUGAACCACGUGACAGAGCAAGUCUCCAUCACAAAAAAAAAAAAGAAAAAGAAAAAAGAAAAAUUCCAACCAAAUGCACUGUGUGGAUCUUGUUUAGAUUAUGAUUACUAUGAAACAAAUAGAAAACAAAAUUUAUGAGGCAACCCAGAACAUCUGAACACUAGGUAUUUGAUGAUAUCUGUUUAGAUGUGAUAAUGACAAUAUAGUUCUACUUGAGAUUUAACAAAAUUAAUUUUUCCCGUUUCAUCACAGAAAUUCAGUGAAAGUAGGCCAGGCACGGUGGCUCAUGCCUGUAAUGCCAGCAUUUUGGGAGACUGAGGCGGGCAGAUUACUUGAGGUCAUGAGUUUGAGACCAGCCUGGCCAACAUGGUAAAACCCCAUCUCUACUAAAAAUACAAAAAUUAGCCGGGUGUGGUAGCGCACACCUGUCAUCCCAGCUACUUAGAGGGCUGAAGCAUGAGAACUGCUUGAACCCGGGAGGCGGAGGUUGCAGUGAGCCAAGAUUGUGCCACUGCACUCCAGCCUGGGCGACAGAGCAAUACUCCAUCUCAAAAAGAAAAAGAGGGCCAGGCGCAGUGGCUCAUGCCUGUAAUCCCAGCACUUUGGGAGGCCGAGGUGGGCGGAUUAUGAGGUCAGAAGAUCGACACCAUCCUGUCUAACAUGGUGAAACCCCAUCUCUACUAAAAAUACAAAAAAGUAGCUGGGCAAGAUGGCGCACACCUGUAGUCCCAGCUACUCGGGAGGCUGAGGCAGGAGAAUGGCGUGAACCGUGGAGGUGGAGGUUGCAGUGAGCCGAGAUCACGCCAUUGCACUCCAGCCUGGGCGACAGAGCGAGACUCCGUCUCAAAAGAAAAAAAAAAAAAAGAAAAGAAAAGAAAUUAAGUGAAAUUAGCUUUUCUUUUUCUUUACUGCAUUUCCCAGUGGAGAAGAAUAUGAACAACCAACCUCAGGGCUACUGCCCUGCUUUGAACUCAGGCUCAGCAGUUUUACCUGCCAUUGCUUUCACACUAUCAGUGCACAGCAAAAAUGUGAAAUGACAGCUUAGUAUGAUUGUGAAAAUGGUUUUGUCCCAGUGGACAAACAUGGUUAUAUAUAUAUCCAGGGAAGGAGAAUGGUGGGGAGGUAGAUGGGAGUACCAGCAAAAAUAUAUGACUCAUGUUUGAAAAUGUCCACAAUACAUCCUUAAAGGUUACUCAGAAAAAUAAGUGGCUGGGCACAGUGGCUCAUGCCUAUAAUCUCAACACUUUGGGACGCCAAGGUUCGAGACCAGCCUAGGCAACACAGUGAGACCCUGUCUCUGCAAAAAAUAAAAAAAAUCAGGAAUGGUGGCACAUGCCUGUGGUCCCAGCUACUUGGGAGGCUGGGGUGGGAGGAUCACUUGAGCCCAGGAGGUCGAGGCUGCCAAGUGAGCAGUGAUUACAACACUGACUCCAGCCUGGGCAAAAGAGUGAGACUCUGUCUCAAAAAAAAAAAAAGGAUUAUCUUCCUUAUUUCACAUCAAUUAUGAAUGCUGCAAAACCGUAAAGGAUGUACUAAAAAGUACAUCAUGUAUAAACUAGCUAAUGAUGCCAUCUGUUAAAAUCAAGCUUAUAUGAUUUCUAGUCUAGUCCAGCCCUGAUUAAUCAAUUUGAAGGUUUUUUUUCUUUUCUUUUUUUUUUCUGAGACAGAGUCUUGCUCUGUCACCCAGGCUGGAGUGCAGUGGUGCAAUCUCGGUUCACUGAAACCUCUGCCUCCCAGGUUCAAGCGAUUCUCGUGCCUCAGCCUCCCCCAGGUAGCUAGAAUUACAGGCGCAUGUCACCACACUUGGCUAAUUUGUGUAUUUUUAGUAGAGAUGGGGUUUCGCCAUGGGCCCAGGCUAGUCUCAAACUCCUGACCUCAAAGGAUCCGCCCUCCUCAGCCUCCCACAGUGCUGGGAUCACAAGCGUGAGCCACCACAGCUGGCUGCAAGUUUUAAAAAUGUCAGCUACAUUUCUGGGCUGGGUUUAUACCCAGGUGGCUUCUCCACCUUGGCACUAUUGACAUUUGAGCUAGAGAAUCCUUUGUUGAGGAGCUGUCCCGGGCACUAAAGGAUGUUGAGCAGCGUCCCUGGCCUCUACCCACUACAUGACGGCGGCACCCUUCCUCCAGGCACAGCAACCAAAAAUGUCCCUAGAUGUCACCAAAUGUGCCCUGGAGGCAAAAGCACCACCAGUUAAGAACCUCUGGCUCAGCUGGGCAUAGUGGCUCAUGCCUGUAAACCCAGCACUUUGGGAGGCCGAGGUGGGUGGAUCACGAGGUCAGGAGUUUGAGAUCAGCCUGGCCAACACCCCAUUUCUACCAAAAAUACAAAAAUUAGCUGGGCGUGGUGGCAGGUGCGUGUAAUCCCAGCUACUCGGGGGACUAAGGCAGGAGAAUUGCUUUAACCUGGGAGGCGGAGGUUGUGGUGAGCAGACUGCGCCAUUGCACUCCAGCCUGGGUGACGGAGCGAGACUCCAUCUCAGACAAAAAACAAAAAAAAGAACUUCUGGCUCAUAGCAACACCAGAUGUUUUUCAAGAGGAGCUGUGACACUCCCCUGCACGGAAUGCUGUGAAAUUUCGUGGGGGCUGGUCACGUAAUUGGGUUGGGGGUGUGGUUGAAAUGUGGGCAGGAGCCAUGCAUGCUGCCAAGAUGGUGAGGAACAGAACUGCCCCCAGUGGACCACAUCAACAGAUGUGGAAUAAGCAGUUUUCAGGGUAUGAACUGAGAACCUAACUGGACUUCACACAUAAGCACAAACUAAUUGCUGCAUGCUUGGAAUUUACCCAGAAUUUCCCAGAAAUGCAAUAGCAUAUUAUGUUGUUAAAAACUUUUCCAAGAGUUAGUCACUACUUUGGAAGGUCACGUUCCACAUGGGAAGGCCCCUCACAGUAUUGCCAUGGUCAACAUCAUACCCUCUACCAGUCCACAAGCAACAGGCUAUUGCCCUAGGUCUCCUGGCAAAAUUGGGCCCACAGUGACAAGGAGAAAUACUGCACCAAGUCAGUACACGUUACUCUACAAUUUACUCUACCAUAAAUUACUUUCAUUUUAAUGAUCCUUUACAAAAUGGGGCCGCA
rnacentral:lncRNA from 10 species